rnacentral:rRNA from 1 species
GGACAACCCAGGGAAACUUGGGCUAAUACCGGAUGUGAGUGCCCUUCGGGGUAUUUGAAAGAUGGCUUUUAGCUGUCGCCUGGAGAUGAGCCUGCGCUCUAUUAGCUAGUUGGUGGGGUAACAGCUUACCAAGGCGAUGAUAGAUAGGCGGCCUUAACGGGUGGUCGCCCACACUGGGAUUGAGAUACGGCCCAGACUCCUACGGGAGGCAGCAGUCGAGAAUAGUCUACAAUGGUCGAAAGACUGAUAGUGCGACGCCGCGUGAACGAAGAAGCCCUUUGGGGUGUAAAGUUCUUUUAUAUGUGAGCAGUGCUUCUUAUGUGAACAGCAUGGGGAGAGAGAUAUUAGCAUAUGAAUAAGCAACGGCUAACUCCGUGCCAGCAGCCGCGGUAACACGGGGGUUGCGAGCGUUGUCCGGAAUUACUAGGCGUAAAGGGCAGGCAGGCGGAUCUAUAAGUUUUUUGUUUAAGGCGACAGCUCAACUGUCGUACGGCAGGAGAUACUGUAGAUCUGGAAUGCGGUUGGGGAAGACAGAAUUCCUGGUGUAGCGGUGGAAUGCGCAGAGAUCAGGAGGAAUACCGAAGGCGAAGGCAGUCUUCCAAGCCGUAAUUGACGCUGAACUGCGAAGGUGUGGGUAUCAAACAGGAUUAGAUACCCUGGUAGUCCACACAGUAAACGAUAAUCACUGGGUGUCGGGUUCGAAGAGGAUUCGGUGCCGUAGCUAACGCGAUAAGUGAUUCGCCUGGGGAGUACGAUCGCAAGGUUGAAACUCAACGAAUUGACGGA